UACGAAGGGGGCAAGCGUUGUUCGGAAUUACUGGGCGUAAAGGGCGCGCAGGCGGCCUCUCAAGUCAGAUGUGAAAGCCCCGGGCUCAACCUGGGAAUAGCAUUUGGGACUGUGAGGCUAGAGAUCGGGAGAGGAGAGUGGAAUUCCCAGUGUAGAGGUGAAAUUCGUAGAUAUUGGGAAGAACACCAGUGGCGAAGGCGGCUCUCUGGACCGAUACUGACGCUGAGGCGCGAAAGCGUGGGGAGCAAACAGG
rnacentral:rRNA from 3 species